GACGAACGCUGGCGGCGUGCUUAACACAUGCAAGUCGAGCGGUAAGGCCCUUUCGGGGGUACGACGAGCGGCGAACGGGUGAGUAACACGUGGGUGACCUGCCCUUAGCUCUGGGAUAAGCCUGGGAAACUGGGUCUAAUACCGGAUAUGACUCCAUGACGCAUGUUGUGGGGUGGAAAGCCUUGUGCGGCUAGGGAUGGGCCCGCGGCCUAUCAGCUUGUUGGUGGGGUGAUGGCCUACCAAGGCGACGACGGGUAGCCGGCCUGAGAGGGCGACCGGCCACAC
rnacentral:rRNA from 1 species